rnacentral:tRNA from 1 species
AAGUCCGGUAGUGCGAGGCACGUCGAACUGCAAACUCGAAGACGCCACCCCAUUCUUGGCCCGGACU